rnacentral:lncRNA from 1 species
AUCAUUAGCAAAUGGUUACUGUAGCACCACAUUGUUAAAUCAUGGACUAAUUAGGCUUAAUAGAUUCGUCUCGCGAAUUAGACUCCAUCUGUGCAAUUAGUUUUGUAAUUAAACUAUGUUUAAUACUCCUAAUUAGUAUCCAAACAUCCGAUGUGACAGGUGCUAAAGUUUAGCACGGGGUAUCCAAACACCCCCUUACAUUUGAGAGAUGUUGUACUCAAUUGUCCAAGAAAACUGCACGAGACACCAAAACACAUCAAUGUUGUUUUUCAUGUACCGUCUCUUCUAGAUUCGAUUGUUGUCUCCACAUUUCUUCGCAUUUCUUCGCACUUUUUAAAAAGUUAGAUGGUUUGCACCAGAUACGUUUCUUUUUAAAAAUACUUUACAAGGAUGAUUUCCCGACCAUAACUACCAAUUUCCCGACUACCUCUCUAGCUUAUCAAUCUAGCAAAGUCAAUAAACCCUUUAUUCCCUUGAUGGAGCGGAGAAACUACUUUCAUGACUACCUCUUUCUAUUUUUUUCAAAACAGUUCUAACGCGAAUGCUCAGUUAGUGAGGACACAAACUAUUUAUAUACACAUACUCCCUCGUCC